UCUGGUGUCAGCCGCCGCGGUAAUACCAGCUCUCCGAGUGGUAGGGAUGAUUAUUGGGCUUAAAGCGUCCGUAGCUGGCUUAACAAGUCUCCUGUUAAAUUCAGCGACCUAAUCGUUGAGCCGCGGGAGAUACUGUUAGGCUAGGAGGCGGGAGAGGCCAACGGUAUUCUCGGGGUAGGGGUGAAAUCCUAUAAUCCCGGGAGGACCACCAGUGGCGAAGGCUGUCGGCUAGAACGCGCUCGACGGUGAGGGACGAAAGCUGGGGGAGCGAACCGGAUUAGAUACCCGGGUAGUCCCAGCUGUAAACGAUGCGGGCUAGGUGUUGGUGUGGCUACGAGCCACUUCAGUGCCGCAGGGAAGCCAUUAA
rnacentral:rRNA from 1 species